UUAGUGGCAGCAGUGACCUGACUGUGCCACAGUCCAACAACACUGAGAUAAUGACAGUUAAACUAGAAACAGCAGAGUAACCGAGGAGCUGCACUUCAGAGUAGGACUUGGAUUAGGGGAUACUGGUACAAGAAAGGUAGUUCUUCAUUCAGCUGAGUCUGCCUACUGCUGUGAGUGACAUUGCAGAUUCUCCUUAAUACUGCCUUCAGGAUCACUGACACUUCUCCACGGCUUCUUCCUUUCCACCUUAUCCUUUGGUAAGUCUGUGCUCUCGGAUUUCUACUUUUACCUCCAACUGUUCUUUUCAGCACCUCCUUUGGUAAAUCCACCCACUCCCUCCCCACUAUCUGUUGGCACCCUUCAGAUUUUCACCCUGAUUCCUCCUCCUUUUAUCUUUAUAGUCUCUAUUUUGACUAACUCAUCCUCCCAAACAAUUUCUGUUACUUACAGUUUUUCCCCCUGUUGUGAAUCUUUGCUUCUGACAUGCUUUCUGUGAUGUCAUCCUGUCAUCUCAAACCCUCUCUCUCUUCAGAGGAGAAUUUCU
rnacentral:lncRNA from 1 species